UCUAGAGGCUUCCGCAAUGGACGAAAGUCUGACGGAGCGACGCCGCGUGUGGGACGAAGGUCGUGAGGUUGUAAACCACUGUUAGCGGAGAAGAAGGCCUGUAUGGCGAAUACGGGUUCGACGGUAUCCGCAGAGAAAGCCCCGGCUAACUACGUGCCAGCAGCCGCGGUAAUACGUAGGGGGCGAGCGUUGUUCGGAUUUACUGGGCGUAAAGCGUGCGUAGGCGGUUUGGCAAGUUUGGCGUGAAAUCUGCACCGCUUAACGGGCAGAGGUCGCCGAAAACUGCCAGGCUAGAGAGCGGAAGAGGGCAGUGGAAUUCCAGGUGUAGCGGUGGAAUGCGCAGAUAUCUGGAAGAACACCGGUGGCGAAGGCGGCUGCCUGGGCCGUUUCUGACGCUGAAGCACGAAAGCUAGGGGAGCGAACGGGCUUAGAUACCCCGGUAGUCCUAGCUGUAAACGGUGAGCACUAGGUGUGGGGGGUAUCGGACCCCCCCCGUCGCCGCAG
rnacentral:rRNA from 1 species